rnacentral:rRNA from 1 species
AACGCUGGCGGCGUGCUUAACACAUGCAAGUCGAACGGAAAGGCCCCGCUUUUGUGGGGUGCUCGAGUGGCGAACGGGUGAGUAACACGUGAGUAACCUGCCCUUGACUUUGGGAUAACUUCAGGAAACUGGGGCUAAUACCGGAUAGGAGCUCCUGCUGCAUGGUGGGGGUUGGAAAGUUUCGGCGGUUGGGGAUGGACUCGCGGCUUAUCAGCUUGUUGGUGGGGUAGUGGCUUACCAAGGCUUUGACGGGUAGCCGGCCUGAGAGGGUGACCGGCCACAUUGGGACUGAGAUACGGCCCAGACUCCUACGGGAGGCAGCAGUGGGGAAUAUUGCACAAUGGGCGGAAGCCUGAUGCAGCAACGCCGCGUGCGGGAUGACGGCCUUCGGGUUGUAAACCGCUUUCGCCUGUGACGAAGCGUGAGUGACGGUAAUGGGUAAAGAAGCACCGGCUAACUACGUGCCAGCAGCCGCGGUGAUACGUAGGGUGCGAGCGUUGUCCGGAUUUAUUGGGCGUAAAGGGCUCGUAGGUGGUUGAUCGCGUCGGAAGUGUAAUCUUGGGGCUUAACCCUGAGCGUGCUUUCGAUACGGGUUGACUUGAGGAAGGUAGGGGAGAAUGGAAUUCCUGGUGGAGCGGUGGAAUGCGCAGAUAUCAGGAGGAACACCAGUGGCGAAGGCGGUUCUCUGGGCCUUUCCUGACGCUGAGGAGCGAAAGCGUGGGGAGCGAACAGGCUUAGAUACCCUGGUAGUCCACGCUGUAAACGGUGGGUACUAGGUGUGGGGUCCAUUCCACGGGUUCCGUGCCGUAGCUAACGCUUUAAGUACCCCGCCUGGGGAGUACGGCCGCAAGGCUAAAACUCAAAGGAAUUGACGGGGCCCCGCACAAGCGGCGGAGCAUGCGGAUUAAUUCGAUGCAACGCGUAGAACCUUACCUGGGUUUGACAUGGAUCGGGAGCGCUCAGAGAUGGGUGUGCCUCUUUUGGGGUCGGUUCACAGGUGGUGCAUGGCUGUCGUCAGCUCGUGUCGUGAGAUGUUGGGUUAAGUCCCGCAACGAGCGCGAACCCUUGUUCACUGUUGCCAGCACGUUAUGGUGGGGACUCAAUGGAGACCGCCGGGGUCAACUCGGAGGAAAGGUGGGGAAUGACGUCAAGUCAUCAUGCCCCUUAUGUCCAGGGCUUCACGCAUGCUACAAUGGCUGGUACAGAGAGUGGCGAGCCUGUGAGGGUGAUCGAAUCUCGGAAAGCCGGUCUCGUUUCGGAUUGGGGUCUGCAACUCGACCUCAUGAAAGUCGAAGUCGCUAGUAUUCGCGAACCAGCAACGCUGCGGUGAAAUACGUUCCCGGG